AGGGUUUGGAGAAGGGAGAAGGAGAGUCAUCUUCUAGUCUGUUAUCUUCUUGGAACAAGGAUAGGAUGUGGAUACAAGUCAGGCCUGUGGAGGGAUCAAAAUACCCAGCUUGAAGGGUUGCCGUGGGGGUGAGAUGGAAUAAUGGACAUAAAGGACUGAGCAUGACAUUUGCACAUUAGGCCUGUCUUCAAUGAAGACUUCUCCGGUUGCCUUGAA